rnacentral:lncRNA from 1 species
UGCAAAUGAUACAUUCCCAAACAAGGUCAGGUGAGAUUCAAGCAUUAUUUACCAUCUUGAUAUUUGUUACUGAAAGUGGAAGAAUUAGAACUUACCAAUAAACAGGUUCCUUGAUCAAGGUCACAAACCGGGUACUCGUGAGGGCAGCAACUAUAGUUGUCAUCACAGCAAGUGGCUGCUUCUAGUGGGCAACAUCCCCAAGCAAAGCAAUACUUGCCAUACUCAAACAGACAACAACAAGUGUUGCUCUCAGGACAAGUGUAGUAACUGUCACAUUGGGUUGGAGGCUUGAUGGGAGAUGGAGGUGAAGGUCCCGGGUUUGGCGGGUUUUCGCCAUUCUUUAUCGGGUAUGAAGGUUCAAUCGCGAUUCCACAUUUUCCUGAUGAAGACGCAAUGUUACGCG